ACGAUGAAGCCCAGCUUGCUGGGUGGAUUAGUGGCGAACGGGUGAGUAACACGUGAGUAACCUGCCCUUGACUCUGGGAUAAGCGUUGGAAACGACGUCUAAUACCGGAUACGAGCUUCCACCGCAUGGUGAGUUGCUGGAAAGAAUUUUGGUCAAGGAUGGACUCGCGGCCUAUCAGCUUGUUGGUGAGGUAAUGGCUCACCAAGGCGACGACGGGUAGCCGGCCUGAGAGGGUGACCGGCCACACUGGGACUGAGACACGGCCCAGACUCCUACGGGAGGCAGCAGUGGGGAAUAUUGCACAAUGGGCGAAAGCCUGAUGCAGCAACGCCGCGUGAGGGACGACGGCCUUCGGGUUGUAAACCUCUUUUAGCAGGGAAGAAGCGAAAGUGACGGUACCUGCAGAAAAAGCACCGGCUAACUACGUGCCAGCAGCCGCGGUAAUACGUAGGGUGCAAGCGUUGUCCGGAAUUAUUGGGCGUAAAGAGCUCGUAGGCGGUUUGUCGCGUCUGCUGUGAAAUCCCGAGGCUCAACCUCGGGUCUGCAGUGGGUACGGGCAGACUAGAGUGCGGUAGGGGAGAUUGGAAUUCCUGGUGUAGCGGUGGAAUGCGCAGAUAUCAGGAGGAACACCGAUGGCGAAGGCAGAUCUCUGGGCCGCUACUGACGCUGAGGAGCGAAAGGGUGGGGAGCAAACAGGCUUAGAUACCCUGGUAGUCCACCCCGUAAACGUUGGGCGCUAGAUGUGGGGACCAUUCCACGGUUUCCGUGUCGUAGCUAACGCAUUAAGCGCCCCGCCUGGGGAGUACGGCCGCAAGGCUAAAACUCAAAGGAAUUGACGGGGGCCCGCACAAGCGGCGGAGCAUGCGGAUUAAUUCGAUGCAACGCGAAGAACCUUACCAAGGCUUGACAUAUACGAGAACGGGCCAGAAAUGGUCAACUCUUUGGACACUCGUAAACAGGUGGUGCAUGGUUGUCGUCAGCUCGUGUCGUGAGAUGUUGGGUUAAGUCCCGCAACGAGCGCAACCCUCGUUCUAUGUUGCCAGCACGUAAUGGUGGGAACUCAUGGGAUACUGCCGGGGUCAACUCGGAGGAAGGUGGGGACGACGUCAAAUCAUCAUGCCCCUUAUGUCUUGGGCUUCACGCAUGCUACAAUGGCCAGUACAAAGGGCUGCAAUACCGUAAGGUGGAGCGAAUCCCAAAAAGCUGGUCCCAGUUCGGAUUGAGGUCUGCAACUCGACCUCAUGAAGUCGGAGUCGCUAGUAAUCGCAGAUCAGCAACGCUGCGGUGAAUACGUUCCCGGGCCUUGUACACACCGCCCGUCAAGUCAUGAAAGUCGGUAACACCCGAAGCCAGUGGCCUAACCGCAAGGA
rnacentral:rRNA from 1 species